ensembl:snRNA U1 U1 spliceosomal RNA
AUAUAUACCUGACCAGGGAGAUCCAUGAUCACAAUCGUGGUUUUCCCUGAGCAAGGAUUAUCCACUUCACUCCAGAUGUGCAGACCUCUGUAAUUUUUACAAGUUCAGGAAACCCAGCUGCCUAAUUUGUGGUGGUGAGGGACAGCGUUUGCACUCUCCUCUG